rnacentral:rRNA from 1 species
ACUCAAAGGAAUAGACGGGGGCCCGCACAAGCGGUGGAGCAUGUUGUUUAAUACGUCACUAACCGUAGAACCUUACCAGGGCUUGACAUCUGGUGCACCGGUGUGAAAGCAUCGUCUCCGCAAGGAGCGCCAAGACAGGUGUUGCAUGGCUGUCGUCAGCUCGUGUCGUGAGAUGUUGGGUUAAGUCCCGCAACGAGCGCAACCCUCAUUCCAUGUUGCCAGCGAGUAAAGUCGGGAACUCUUGGAAAACUGCCGGGGUAACUCGGAGGAAGGUGAGGAUGACGUCAAGUCAGCAUGGCCCUUACGCCCUGGGCUACAAACAUGCUACAAUGGACGGUAAACAGAGGGAUCCGAGACCGCGAGGUGGAGGCAAUCUCAGAAAUCCGUUCUCAGUUCGGAUUGCAGGCUGCAACUCGCCUGCAUGAAGCCGGAAUCGCUAGUAAACGCAGAUCAGCGAAGCUGCGUUGAAUACGUUCCCGGGCCUUGUACACACCGCCCGU